AAUUAAUCUUCUUACCAGCAAAACCAAAACACAUUCCUCGUAAGCGAAGUUUACCUGCUCGAUAAACCAGGACUUUCCAUACACGAAAAACAGGAGAUUUUGUUGAAUCUUCGACCACGAAAUCAUUUUUUUGUUUGUUAUAGCUUUUGCCUAUCGUCUCGUGAAUGCUUAAAACAAACUGCAUCAUGAUGCUAGUUGGGCCUAAUGUUACGUUGUUACACAUCGUUAUUAAAGCCCCUUUAAAGGAGCUACGUCACAGCUUGUGCAUCUUAAAAAGUUUAGCCAAAAUUUUUCAAGUUCGUAGUUUGUAAUCCGUGUCAAUCUUCUCUAUCUUUAAGUAUCCUUGCAAUUGUUCCUCUAUGGUUUAUUAUUCUUUGGUGUUUAUCUAUCUUUAAUAGUAAGCAACUAUUUUCAGGUUUCCUUCCGCCAAAUUAAAUGGUUAGUUUUUACGUGGCUAAAAUACUGAACUGAAACAAAUCACGAUUGUGUUCCCUUAAAAUUGUAACUUUCCAGAUUUUUACCUGGAAACACGAACGUAAUUAUUGGGUAUAUAUUAGUAAUCCCAGUAAAUCAUUGUAAUCCCAGUACGCAGAAGAAAAGUGUGCUUUAAAAUGAAAUUUCACAAUGUGGUAAGAACAAAAAGGUGGCAGACGAGGCGAUUGCCAAGUGUGUCACUGAUGAUCUUACCGCAUUUGUGAUCUGUUACACUUGUGAUCUAUUACUGAACAGACGUAAUGUAUUUUGCCAUUUGUUCUAGGUACACUAUAUAGCUGGUCUUUGAUUUUGUAUGGAACAAUUACAGAUCCGCGAAAAAAUACCUCCGGUCUCAUUGCACCGUCAAAGCUUCCUUUAACUCCAGCCGCACCAACAGGUACUGUCACUACAUCCAAGAGGUCACUACCGACUACCACUGCCCAGCCAACAGAGACGAUUAUUAAAGCCAAGAAUGAGUCACCACCAAGCAUAUCUGCCUCCUGGAGGAAACUCUUGUUGAUUGCUGCCUUGCUACUUGUCACUAUUGUGAUCUUGGUGAUCACUUUGUGGUACUGGUAUCUUCACAGAAAAAGGUUCAGAGAAAGACAGAGAGUAAAUGAGGAGAGCGGAACACGGCUACAGGAAAACGCGCCAAGAGGGAGAGGACAGAGGGAAGAGGAAUCGAGAGAAGAUAAGGAGAAACGUAAAUACUCACGACUUAAGUACGUCGGGUCGCUUAAAGAUUCACCGAAUGCUGGGGAAAGCGAAGUUAUGGUUUGAAUAAAGGACAACAGCAAAAACUGCUAAGGACUAAGGAAAAUUGUAUAGCUUUAAUGAAACGGAAGUAAAGAGUUAGUCAAAUUUAUAUAUUAAUAUAUUCAUAGCUUCGAGAAAUCCCAGUAAGUUCCUGUAAGCCAGUGGACCAUACGGAUGUGGGGUGAGAUGGGUUACAGGGAAGAGUGACGGGGGUUGAGAUUGCUUUCAAGCUCAUUCUAGGCGAUAAAACUGCCCCUGAUACUCAAGUCAAAGGCCUGUGUGUCUGUUGUUUUACUCGCUCUUUUUGACCAUGAGGCUGUUAGAGGAAAAUACCAGAAGUUUACUUUGCUUGUUGUUGCAAUGUUAUAUAGUUUAAACAGCGGACAUAAUUAAGCUUGAACAAUUUUGACGUUUAUUACUUACAUGAUUAAAUUAACGAUAUGUAGACCUGUGGUCUAUAAAGUCGUUUCACUUAAGUUACUUAGGCUACGCACUGUUAACUUAUAUUUAAUUUAGAUGCUUUUUUAUCGGCGGUUUUAGCGAUAGCUGCAAUGUGCCAGAUUUCUUCAAAAGAAAUGGCAAAAUAAUUUAUAAAAUGGCUUAAAAAGGCCAAGAGAAGACAAGUGUUGUAUUCAUCGUUUCAACUCUGAACGUGUGAUUCAGAUUGGUUUAAUUGCAAUUUGAACACUUGUCGAUUAAUUUUCCUUGCAGUAUUUAAUAAUUUAAAAAUAAUUUAAAUAUACUUCCGAGUAACAAGUUUGAUAUUUGGUAGUUUGGUUUCUAAAGAUAAUUCUAUACACAAUUUCAUAGUUGCCUUGUAUGCAAUUUAGAUUUUAUAAGCAAGCUAUCUGUGAGUAUUCUAUAUGAUUUGUUGUCUGUUUUCUAUUUAAAUAUCUGACAGAAUUUUUGCUGUCCAUAAAAAGUAAAUCCUGUUGUAGAAUGUUUUUUUUUUCAUCAAAUAAAUGAAUGAAAUUCAUGUUCAGUCCUAGAACGUCACAUAAGCUUGGUUUG
rnacentral:misc_RNA from 1 species